CCACGGAAAGCUGCUGUAAUUCCACUCCUUGUGCGAUGACAUCAACAUAAGGAGGGAGUUCAUCCUGAGAAGCCUUGUUGUCUAUGUCAGUGAAGACCCAGAUGUGUUUUUCAAGGAAUAUUUGUCCUCUGCAGCUGAGGAUGCAGAGAGGGACAUCACCACUACAGUCAUGGGGAUUUACACAAUCCGAAGAGAUGGACAUGAAGAGCCAGAGGACGUGGGAGUUGUGAUUGAGGGCAUUAAAGUCCUCAACAAUGUUGGCAGCGUCAUCAUGGGGUUCAUCAUGCUGUUUGGGCUCAUUUAUGCCCUUGAUCUAGCCUUUCCCCAAAACCUCAAGUACACCUUCGAGUUUUUCCAGAAGAUCAUUAUGAACUUGGAUGGACACAAGCUGAAUGCAAAGAUACAGCAGCUGAAAAUCAAGCUGUUUUCAUAAGGGGCAAACACUGUGUCCACACAUUCAGUGACAGUCAGCAUGGAUGUUUUUCUUGUUAACUACUUGUGUAGCACAUCUUGAAGUGUGUUCCUAUGGAUAGGCUGUGACUGGACUCAAAGAAAUUCCUUUUUUUUCUCUCACGUUUCCGGUUCUGUUUUGUACUUCUACCAUGUGUAUAGUAUAGUAAAACCAAAGUUUAUAUGUUUAAUGUGAGCUGGUUAUACCAUGCCUUAGCCUUUGCAGAUAUUGUACUUGUAUUAUUAUUGUACUAGCACUAAUACUAGUUACUUUGGUUGAAGCAGUUUUGAAGUCAGCGGAUUCAUUUCUUUUCUUUUCUAAAUAUGAUAGGUCAUACACUGUGUUCAUCAUCGAUAAAAAACUUAAGAGAAGCUUAAAAAGCUAAGCUCUCAGUCAAGGUCAAAGUGCAUUUUGAACAGUUUAGUUUGAGAUUGGUGGAAGAAUUUCCAUGUUUUGUACUGUAGAUGUGUGUUAAAUGUGGUAUAUGUAUAUUUCAUUCCAGUAUUUAGGCACUACAUAGUGCAGUUAAUGGUAAAAAAAUGUUCAGGGUCAGUCUGAACUGGUCAAAACAUGCCUUAGCUUUUCUGCCUGAAACAUAUAGCUAGGCUCUGAGGCAGUUU